UUCUUUACUUUUUCUUUUUAAUUUUUUCCCAUUCCCUAAAAUUGGGAUCCGGCGGAGCAGUGACGGUGGUCGAUGGAGGAGGAGCCAGACGCGUAUCCGGUGACCCCGAUGGACUGUUGCUUCAGGUGAUGAUUUUAUUCUUGGGCAGACGAAAUGGAUAGUGAUCUUCGUGAUGUCAACGAACGGGGCACGCUUCCUUCUUAUUUCUGGUAUCCUUCUUCAUUUUGUGUUGUAGACAGUCUUCUUCGGAAUUACUAUGGCAAAGUUGUUGGCAUUUUGGGGUCACGUCAGGUCAUGCAUGCAUGCGUUACCGGUGUUAUCCAGGGUUAUCAGUCCCAUUCUUGCAAGUCCUACUUGGCCAUCAGGCUCGGCUACUCCUGGUAACAAAGAAGGACGGACGAGGAAAAGUCGCUGCUUUUACUGAAGCAACAAGGUGUUGGGCUCAAGGGCAUUGCGAAAAGUUAGGGAGGAUAUUCCACCUCUGCUGCUUACUGUUGGUUUGGUACGUUUAAAUCCAAGACUCCGUUGCCCAAAGAAGAUAUUGGACCGCUCUAUUCAGGAGAAGACAAGAUUUCUUCUUUUGUUUGUUUGAAAAGAGGACCAAGAUACAUCAAUUUUGACUGGCGAGUAGUAAUACAAUGUCAAACUCGUUAAAAGGAAAACCUGUGCAGAUAACCUCUUAACUGCAGCGAAGUGAGGUAUGCUUUGUUCUUUGUUCGAGCUGAUAAGAAGGCAAUUUCAUCCCUGUUACUUGUCGCCUUCAAACAUGUUUUGUUCUUGUGUCUGGUCCUCCCCAGGGAAAAUGGUGUGCGGUACCCAUGGAACUUCAUCCUCAGCAAGUGCUUUGGGAGGAAGAAAAGUAACAUCCACUAUCGGGUUCCAGGUCUCGAAACUAAUUUGUUCCCGGAGAAUACAGAGGUCACUAAGGGUGUCUGGAAAUGAGGCAAUAAGAGCUGGAUGGGAGGAGAUAAUGGAGCUGGCAAAAGCACAAGAAUAUCAAUGCUUGUCGGCCUUCUUCGUCCAACGUCUGGAGAUCCCCUUCUACAUGGUAACUGUAAAGAUGAGAUACGGAAAAAAAUAGGUGUUCACCCUCAGCAUGAUAAUCCUCUUUCCAGAACUGAAGAAACAGAGGAAGGAGAGACCAAGCGCCAGUUUCUCUAAUCUGAAUCUUGAUGUCCUGGAAUACUCGAUUGCGUUUGCUUUGGUUUCUGGGUAAUGUGUUUGUUUCCUUCUUCAUAAGACUCUGGAUUUAAUUAUUCUGUGGUUAGGUUUUAAGUUUAUUUUUAAAUUGGUUUGAUCACGAGAGGGAGAUGUCAAACCAUCCAAAGAUGACAUGUGUGUCUUCGGCGCAUCAGAAUUUGGAAGUGAAGCUAAGGGAACUUCAGGAGAAGUUCUGUCAUCUUCAGGCUGCCAGGAAAGAAGGGCGCCAUGGUGACCUUGCUCUCUUGGAAGCCCAAAUCUCUCAGAAGCUUCGUGAGUGGCAACUCACUGCUCCUUCUCCAGAAUCUUCUCUUCUGGUGAAGGUAUUAGCCAAUUCCUUGAGGAGUUUUCUGAGUUUGCUCCUCUGUUGAAGUUAGACGAGGAGGAUGAUGCUGCACCAAAGCCUGAGCCUGAGGGUUUCGCUCAAACCUUGUGCCCUCCAGAAUGGACAUCUGAUCAUUUUAGUCAAAGUCCUUUCAACGGGAAUUUCUCCUGUGGUGUUGAGGUUAGCUAGCUACAGUUUCUGGUCCUUCUCCAGAAUCUUCUUCUCUUCUGGGUUGUACUCCAUUACCAAAACCUUGUACUUCUCAGCUGGUUUAUGGGUUUUUUAUUCUCUGAAAAAAUGCUGAAUCUGUAAGCUUUCUGCAUGUGACGGGAGACUAGCCUCGUUUGAUGAAAUAUUUGCAGUUUUUUUUUUUUUUUUGU